rnacentral:tRNA from 1 species
GAGGGCAUAGCUCAGUGCAGAGUGUGUGCCUAGCAUGCACAAGGUCCUGGGUUCAAUCCCCAGUACUUCCA